GACGAACGCUGGCGGCGUGCCUAAUACAUGCAAGUAGAACGAGUUGCGAACGGGUGAGUAAUGUCUGGGAAACUGCCCGAUGGAGGGGGAUAAAUACUGGAAACGGUAGCUCAUACCGCAUACCAUCGGAUGUGCCCAGUUUGGAUUAGCUAGUAGGUGGGGUAACGGCUCACCUCGGCGACGAUCCCUAGCUGGUCUGAGAGGAUGACCAGCCACACUGGAACUGAGACACGGUCCAGACGCCUACGGGAGGCAGCAGUGGUGAAUAUUGCACAAUGGGCGCAAGCCUGAUGCAGCCAUGCCGCGUGUAUGAAGAAGGCCUUCGGGUUGUAAAGUACUUUCAGCGAGGAGGCGUUACUCGAAGAAGAAGCACCGGCUAACUCCGUGCCAGCAGCCGCGGUAAUAC
rnacentral:rRNA from 1 species